rnacentral:rRNA from 1 species
CCCUUAGAUGUCCGGGGCCGCACGCGCGCUACACUGAAGGAAUCAGCGUGGCUUUCUCCCUGACCCGAAAGGGUUGGGAAACCCGUUGAAUCUCCUUCGUGAUAGGGAUUGGGGCUUGAAAUUGUUCCCCAUGAACGAGGAAUUCCCAGUAAGCGCGAGUCAUAAGCUCGCGUUGAUUACGUCCCUGCCCUUUGUUCACACCGCCCGUCGCUACUACCGAUUGAACGGUUUAGUGAGGGCCUCGGAUUGGUCUCGGCCCGCUCUUUACCGGGCGGCGCCGUUGGUCGAGAAGACGCUCGAACUUGAUCGUUUAGAGGAAGUAAAAGUCGUAACA